rnacentral:rRNA from 1 species
GGUCAUAAAACUCUGUUGUUAGGGAAGAACAAGUACGAGAGUAACUGCUCGUACCUUGACGGUACCUAACCAGAAAGCCACGGCUAACUACGUGCCAGCAGCCGCGGUAAUACGUAGGUGGCAAGCGUUAUCCGGAAUUAUUGGGCGUAAAGCGCGCGCAGGCGGUUUCUUAAGUCUGAUGUGAAAGCCCACGGCUCAACCGUGGAGGGUCAUUGGAAACUGGGGAACUUGAGUGCAGAAGAGAAAAGCGGAAUUCCACGUGUAGCGGUGAAAUGCGUAGAGAUGUGGAGGAACACCAGUGGCGAAGGCGGCUUUUUGGUCUGUAACUGACGCUGAGGCGCGAAAGCGUGGGGAGCAAACAGGAUUAGAUACCCUGGUAGUCCACGCCGUAAACGAUGAGUGCUAAGUGUUAGA